UCUAAGUUGGCUGCAAUAUUACCAGAGGAU
rnacentral:piRNA from 1 species